rnacentral:rRNA from 1 species
AACGAACGCUGGCGGCAUGCCUAACACAUGCAAGUCGAACGAGACCUUCGGGUCUAGUGGCGCACGGGUGCGUAACGCGUGGGAACCUGCCCUUAGGUUCGGAAUAACUCCCCGAAAGGGGUGCUAAUACCGGAUAAUGUCUUCGGACCAAAGAUUUAUCGCCUUUGGAUGGGCCCGCGUUGGAUUAGCUAGUUGGUAGGGUAAAAGCCUACCAAGGCGACGAUCCAUAGCUGGUCUGAGAGGAUGAUCAGCCACACUGGGACUGAGACACGGCCCAGACUCCUACGGGAGGCAGCAGUGGGGAAUAUUGGACGAUGGGCGAAGGCCUGAUCCAGCAAUGCCGCGUGAGUGAUGAAGGCCUUAGGGUUGUAAAGCUCUUUUACCCGGGACGAUAAUGACAGUACCGGGAGAAUAAGCUCCGGCUAACUCCGUG